rnacentral:rRNA from 1 species
UAUAUAAAAGAAGGACAACAAGACCCUGACGAGCUUCCAUUAUUUAGCUGGGGCAGCUCACAAAUAAAACCUUAGUAUAAACCUAGAUAACGACCCAAUCAAUAUUGAUCAUAAGUUAAGCUACCGCAGGGAUAACAGCGCAAUAGGAUUCCAGAGCCCUUAUCCAAAAUCCCGCUUACGACCUCGAUGUUGAAUUAAUUAAGCUAUAUUAAGCAAAAAAUAUACAAGCAGGUCUGUUCGACCUAUAAACAAUUACAUGAUUUGAGUUCAGACCGGCGCAAGCCAGGUCAGCUUAUAUCCUCUGACACUCCAAUAUUAGUACGAAAGGACCAUAUAAAUAAUAAAA